UCCAGGAACGCUUUCACUUUCUUUUGCAGAUUCCCUGACCGGAUCCCUGCAGCACACCUCACCCCCCGGGCUUGAAGCUGAGCGCAGGUGCCCGGGUGUUCCCUGCCCCGCACCAGGGGGAGGGCUGAUCCCGCACCCCCCGAGGCAGCGGGACGGUCCCCAGCCCUGGAGGGGACCCGCAGCCUCCGUGGGUGCUGCUACCGGGCGUGGAGGGUGUCUGCGGGUGUCUCACCCAUGAUGCGGAAAUGUUCCUCCCAGCGGGGAAAAAGAUGUGGAAAAAGGACCAGGGAAGUGUUUCAGGCUUGCCAUAAUGCAGACAUAAUAAGCCUCGACAUAAUGCAGGAUUACGUCUGAAAUGGCUUUCGCAUAGGCGCUGGAGAAAAGCAAGCAGGGGCACUGAAACUGAAAACACAUUGGAAUUUCCAGUUGGCCUUUGGAGCUUGCUGGAUGCCUCAGUCCACCACCAGCAAGGAAAGGGCUGGCUGCCUGUAAGCUCCAUCUCCAGCAGAGCUUUGCUUAACUGAGGCACCAAAACUACCUGUGAUGCCAGUGUGCGUUGUGCAGAUGUUUAAAAUAGGGUAAUGCAGGCUCUGCUGAUACCCAUUGAGGUUCUGGCUGGGCUUCUUUCCAGUCAGGCUGAAAAGGAUGCCACCUUGCACAAAAGGAAUAAAACAAAUAUUUGUAUGCAGAGUCUUGGAUAGUUUUGUGAUGAUAUUUGAAUUUAAGCAUUCAUUAAAACUGAAAUUGCUCCGAGUCAGUGGGUGAGCUGGGAGGGAAAGACAGAUAAUGCUACUGUGAAUGGGGCCAUAUAGCGAUGCUUUGCUCCCAGCAGAUUGUGCAGAUCCUGGUAAUGUUUUGUCUUUAUGUGUUUCUCACCUUCUGUCUUACCUCUUUAACUUUCUGAAGGAGCAGGGAAAUAAUUGAACGCUGUGCUGACUUUCUAAGUUGUUGUAAAUAGCUGUGAGAGCCACUGUUUCAGGAUGGUAAAGUCAAUUUCUUGCCACUCUGCGAGCUAUCGACAGGCUCUGGGGAGGCUGCAGCAGCCAGCACUGUGCUGCCCUGGCUCCUGCUUUGUGCUUUGGAGGGUAAGGUCCCGGGGGGCUGGGAGCACGGCAUUACCACCCCAAGGCCAUCCAGUUCCAUUCGAACCCACGGCAGCAGGACCCCGCUCACAUUUCCAGAAGGAUUCACGGUUUCAUCCUUUGCCGCCUCCUUGCAGUUUAAUCAGAGGCACCUGGUCCCUGUCACUGCCAGCUCCGAGGCACUAUGUUUAGAUGGAUCGGUGUGGUGGUCCCUUCCUCAUGUCGGUGGGCCACGCUAGAAAUAGCGGUAACAUAAUACAUUAAAUAAAGCAGCACUUACAUUAGCAACAGUAGAGAAUUUUAUUCGGUAACUUACAAUAGUUACUCAGAGUAGAACCUCUUUGCAUUGUAUGAUUUUAUACUGAAUUAAA